rnacentral:snRNA from 1 species
UAAGAAAUCUGGCAGCAGUUUGAUAGAAAGACAUUAUAACUGACUACAUCCACUGUAUAGAAUGUUAAUCUGCAAUAGUAUUGACUCCUGCGAAUUGACUCCUGGGAAUCUCGACUGCAUCAUUUCUGGUAGUGGGGGACUGCAUUCACGCUCUUCUCUG